AGGCCCUCACGGCUUUAAAAUGCGUCACUUGGAACGAUACAGAGAAGAUUAGCAUAGCCCCUACGCAAGGAAGACACGCACAAAUCGAGAAAUAGCCCAAAGCGGA
rnacentral:snRNA from 11 species